CAUGCAAGUCGAACGCGAGAGGGGAGCAAUCCUGAAGCCCACAAACGGGUGAGUAACACGUGGGUGACCUGCUUAGAGUGGGGGAUAACGUCCCGAAAGGGACGCUAAUACCGCAUGACAUCCUGCUUUUGGAAAAGCGGACAUUAUCGUCUCGGGAUCGCAAGACCUGGCGCUUGAAGAGGGGCCCGCGCCUGAUUAGCUAGUUGGUGAGGUAACGGCUCACCAAGGCGACGAUCAGUAUCCGGCCUGAGAGGGCGGACGGACACACUGGGACUGAGACACGGCCCAGACUCCUACGGG
rnacentral:rRNA from 1 species